GGAAUUACUGGGGCUUAAGGGUGCGUAGGCGGUCUGUGUAAGUCAGAGGUGAAAUCCCCGAGCUUAACUCGGGAACUGCCUUUGAGACUGCAUGUCUUGAGUAUGGCAGAGGUGGGUGGAAUUCCACGUGUAGCGGUGAAAUGCUUAGAUAUGUGGAAGAACACCUAUGGCGAAGGCAGCUCACUGGGCUGAUACUGACGCUCAUGCACGAAAGCGUGGGGAUCAAACAGGAUUAGAUACCCUGGUAGUCCACGCCCCUAAACGAUGACAACCUCGUUGUUGGGGAUUCAUUUC
rnacentral:rRNA from 1 species